AGCAGGUAACCCACAUUAUAAUGAAUGUGAGGCCACAUUUGAGCAUUUAUUCUGAUUCAUUAGUGGCCCACGCAGCAUUAUGAUUCAAAGGCAAGAGUAUACUUAGGCUAUGUUUGUUGGUAUGUUGGUUAAAGUAGCUGAAAGACAGUAUAAAUGAUAGAUAAACAGAGGGAUUUAAAUCAGAGACAGUCGAUCCAAAUAUCAGUCUUUGGAGAUGGCCAGUGGGCAGUUCACUUAAUGUUCUGGAACUGAAAGUUAAAGUGACUAAGAGAACAACUGACCAUAUUGUAGCCAGAGAUCGUCUCCCUCCCAGCCACUGAAUGGCACUGUGCCUGGCUUACUGGCACACUAAUUGCUGGAUGGUGCCGGCACCUAUAUCCAGAGUGACGAAGUGACAAGACUGGCUGCGAACCAGUGACAGUGUGUCUGAGAAAUGACUUGUAAUAGGCUAUUACUGCACAAGAACUCCUUGUCUCCAGCAGUCAGCUGCUGGGAUCUUC